UUUUUUAUGCUUGUAUAUCUCAAUACUUCGAAGAAUGCCAAUUAAAUCUCCAUCAGGAGCAACCAACCCAACAUUCUUCGACGACCCGAUGCUCUCCUUAGUCUUGUCAUCAAUCGCCAAAACAAUGGGGAGCGACAUGUUAACCACAGUCCCAUCCGCCAUUCUCAAAGAAUUAAAAUGCAGACUCUGCAAGUACUCGUUUUCUCUCAUGAACCCUCUCAACGGACUCGCCCAUCCCUCGCUAAUCACGUGCACCCACUCCACAUCGAUCUUGGUCAGCCUUACCUUAGACAUUGACUCUGCCUCUAAAGCUUUCGCUCCCCGCUCGUUCUCUGGCACCACCAGAUCCACCAGUGCACCACCGUCCGGCUCGAUCAGCGAGCUCUUGAUCGAAGGAAUGGAAGACUCAACUGGGUUAGAAGAAUCUAGCAUUUUGGGUUUAUUAUAAACGAAAUGAAUCAAUGGGUUGGAGUGGUAAAUGGGCUUUGGUCGAAUUCUGGUGCUGUAACUUGUGAAUUUAGUCUUGCUGCUUGUAUGGAGAUUGAGGGUAUUGUAGGGAGUGAUGUGUAGUCUGAUUGUUAGAGACAUGAUUGUGAGUAUUUCUGCAAGGAGGUGCUAAAAUUCUGGGAGUGGGUUCUGCAAGCAAUGCGAAGAGAUCCGUUUAAUUUGGAAAGGUCUAAUUUGGCGUCUAAAUUUGGACUAAACAUUUUGGUAGGCGUUGAAGGAGAGCAGAGACAUCCACGCGUUUACUCUACCCUUCGAAGCUUGUGGACGGAAGUUGCCCGCUCGUCUGCAUUUUUGCUGGGGACCAAAAACAG
rnacentral:misc_RNA from 1 species